GCAGGUGUAGCUCAGUUGGUUAGAGCGCCGGUCUGUGGAACCGGAGGUCGGUGGUUCGAGCCCACCCACCUGUA
rnacentral:tRNA from 1 species